rnacentral:misc_RNA from 1 species
GAUGAAGAACGUAGCGAAAUGCGAUAAGUAAUGUGAAUUGCAGAAUUCAGUGAAUCAUCGAAUCUUUGAACGCACAUUGCGCCCGCCAGUAUUCUGGCGGGCAUGCCUGUUCGAGCGUCAUUUCAACCAUCAAGCCCCAGGCUUGUGUUGGAGCCCUGCGGCUGCCGCAGCCUCCCAAAACCAGUGGCGGGCUCGCUAUCACACCGAGUGCAGUAGUUUACUCUUCGCUCAGGGCGUGUGGCGGGUGCUAGCCGUAAAACCCCCAACUUCUCAAGGUUGACCUCGGAUCAGGUAGGAAUACCCGCUGAACUUAAGCAUAUCAAUAAGCGGACGA